rnacentral:rRNA from 1 species
GAUGAACGCUGGCGGCGUGCCUAAUACAUGCAAGUCGAGCGAACAGACGAGGAGCUUGCUCCUCUGACGUUAGCGGCGGACGGGUGAGUAACACGUGGAUAACCUACCUGUAAGACUGGGAUAACUUCGGGAAACCGGAGCUAAUACCGGAUAAUAUAUUGAACCGCAUGGUUCAAUAGUGAAAGACGGUUUUGCUGUCACUUAUAGAUGGAUCCGCGCCGCAUUAGCUAGUUGGUAAGGUAACGGCUUACCAAGGCAACGAUGCGUAGCCGACCUGAGGGGGUGAUCGGCCACACUGGAACUGAGACACGGUCCAGACUCCUACGGGAGGCAGCAGUAGGGAAUCUUCCGCAAUGGGCGAAAGCUUGACGGAGCAACGCCGCGUGAGUGAUGAAGGUCUUCGGAUCGUAAAACUCUGUUAUUAGGGAAGAACAAAUGUGUAAGUAACUAUGCACGUCUUGACGGUACCUAAUCAGAAAGCCACGGCUAACUACGUG